CCUUUGACGUUAGCGGCGGACGGGUGAGUAACACGUGGGUAACCUACCUAUAGGACUGGGAUAACUUCGGGAAACCGGAGCUAAUACCGGAUAAUAUUUCGAACCGCAUGGUUCGAUAGUGAAAGAUGGUUUUGCUAUCACUUAUAGAUGGACCCGCGCCGUAUUAGCUAGUUGGUAAGGUAACGGCUUACCAAGGCGACGAUACGUAGCCGACCUGAGAGGGUGAUCGGCCACACUGGAACUGAGACACGGUCCAGACUCCUACGGGAGGCAGCAGGU
rnacentral:rRNA from 1 species